rnacentral:rRNA from 1 species
CGCCUCUUGAAAACCAUAAGAGGUCCAGCCUGCCCAGUGACAAUGUUCAACGGGCCGCGGUAUCCUAACCGUGCGAAGGUAGCGUAAUCACUUGUUCUUUAAAUGAGGACUAGUAUGAAUGGCAUCACGAGGAUUACACUGUCUCCUUUUUCCAAUCAGUGAAACUAAUCUUUCCGUGAAGAAACGGAAAUACACCUAUAAGACGAGAAGACCCUAUGGAGCUUUAAACGAAACAACAUUUGCUAAAACACACGCCAAUCUCAGGAAAUCAACCUUUAUUUUUAGCAUCAUAAUUGCUAGUUUUAGGUUGGGGUGACCGCGGAGUAAAAAAUAACCUCCACAAUGAACUGGGAGACUUCCUUAAACAAAAAACCACAACUUUAUGUAUCAACAAAUUGACAUUAAUUGACCCAAUAUUUUGAUCAACGAAACAAGUUACCCUAGGGAUAACAGCGCAAUCCACUUUGAGAGCCCAUAUCGACAAGUGGGUUUACGACCUCGAUGUUGGAUCAGGGUACCCCAGUGGUGCAGCCGCUACUAAAGGUUUGUUUGUUCAACAAUUAAAACCCU